CCUACGGGAGGCUGCAGUGGGGAAUAUUGCACAAUGGGGGAAACCCUGAUGCAGCGACGCCGCGUGAGUGAAGAAGUAUUUCGGUACGUAAAGCUCUAUCAGCAGGGAAGAAAAUGACGGUACCUGACUAAGAAGCCCCGGCUAACUACGUGCCAGCAGCCGCGGUAAUACGUAGGGGGCAAGCGUUAUCCGGAUUUACUGGGUGUAAAGGGAGCGUAGACGGCAGCGCAAGUCUGGAGUGAAAUCCCAUGGCUUAACCAUGGAACUGCUUUGGAAACUGUGCAGCUAGAGUGCAGGAGAGGUAAGCGGAAUUCCUAGUGUAGCGGUGAAAUGCGUAGAUAUUAGGAGGAACAUCAGUGGCGAAGGCGACUAUCUGGCACAUAACUGACGCUGAGGAGCGAAAGCGUGGGUAGCAAACAGGAUUAGAUACCCCAGUAGUC
rnacentral:rRNA from 1 species